AAAAACUAAACAAAAUGGUCUUAUGGUCUCGUUCUGUGGUCUCGUUGCCGAGAAGUUCUCUUGAUAAUUUCCUGUGCUACUUUGUUAGAAUUUGUAGCUUACAAGUUCACCGUGCGAGAGCGUCGACAUUCUACUGUAAAAACUUCCAGAGCCAUUGUGUGUUUUGGAUAGAGCCGAUAUGAUAAAAAGUUUGUGGAUAAUGUUCGUUGAUAAAUUGCAAUGUGUGAAUGCUGAUCGACUUUGUCAUACUAACUCAUACUCAUACUAAGAGAUGUAAGCAACAAUAACAAGUUUCCUGAAGAAUGUUCCAAUCGGACAGUUGGAAACAAUUAUGUCUGUAUAAGUUGUGGAAUAUCUUUGGGAAAGCAGUCACGAAGAUAAAAUCACAGGCCAUGGGCUUAUGGAAAGAAGUGAAGAGUGGUAUUAUAUAGAAAAACAAUCUCCGAGAUAGAUGCCUGAUGGAUGCCCAUGUAUGCAUUGUUUGCAGGAUGAGCUCACCUCAAAAGCAUUAAUAUCUAGUGAACAUAAAAGCUGUGUGUGUUGUUGCAAUGUAUAUAGUUCUAUUUAUUAACCCCCGACGCAAAAUUGUGUAUAUGUGUCUAUCUGUAGCAUCGUAGCUCCCAAACGGAUGAUCCGAUUUUAAUAUGUUUUUUUUUUGUUUGUAAGUUAUAUUAGUCGAGAGUGUUCUUAGCUAUGUUUGGUAGAAAUCGGUUCAGGUCUUCAAGGUCAUCAGAGAUGUUUGUUAAGUGUGAUAGGAAUGUUACACGCUCAGUUUGCUUGCAAGCAUAGGUAUGUGGGAUAAGUUAUUUUUUGCUUUUUAUAGGGUUUUUUUCACCUUUUUUCAUAAUAAUUGAGUACUUUUGUUUUGUCGGGGUUUUUUUUUGUUCAUAGAUGUUGGUAAACUAUGAGUUUAUAUCACUUUAUAAUUAUUAUAAUUUAUAUCAUUAAAUCAUUAAAUAGAUAAAAACCUGUGUAUAUUUUAAUGUUAUUGUUAAGUUUAUUCUCUACCUACUUACUAAUAUGUUACCAUAUUAAGUCUGUUCAAAAAUCAUAAAUAGGUACUUGUUCUUCUUCUAUCAUGUAGGUUGUGAAGUGGAUGACCAACCUCAACCAGGGUUAUUGCUGAGCCGCCAAUGUCGUUGGAUCAGCCAGCAAUGUCCUAACUGAAUCAGGGAUCACAAAGAAAUUUUUGUGUUUUGUCCCCACCGGGACUUGAACCUGGGACCUCCGGAAUGUUAGCCACUGGACCACAUAGGCCGAGAGUAUAUGGUUAAGUUGCUGUUUUAUUUCAACUAUUUAAUUAAAUGUAGGAAUAUUUUGUAUGAGUAUGAAUUAUAUAAUAAAACAAAUUAUUUCUAAAAAUAUAUCUUUCAUUAUGUUUUUAAUAAAAUUGUUUCUUUUUAAAAUUAUUUUGAAAAAUAAAAUAGUAAUCACGUCGUUUAGCACCACUUCAACUGAUAGGAUCUCACAAUCAAUGUUUUUUGUGGUAUCAAAAUUGUUAGUUAAAUUUAAUUUUUGACCUCUUGGGACCAGAUUUUCACAUCAAACAUCCUUUGGUGGUCUUUAUUGGUCUAAAUGCAAGACAAAUAUAAUUAUAGAAUCUAUAGGUACCAAUGAGGGACUUUCCAGGCUAGGUUCUCAAAAAAAAUACAGAUGGCGCUGUCCAGAUUUAACAUGAUGUGUUAUUGGUGCUGAUUCCAGUACACACUGUCUAAGUUUAUUUGAAGUUAUACCUGUCAUUUUAUUAUCAGGUGACGGGUAAACGACAGGCUUAAAAUUUAUGGAAUAGGUUCACAAUAAUUUUAGUCAGAAAUUAAAAAAACCCAGCAAAAGUUGACAGCACACAUGUCACCGGCGAUAGAAAUAUGUUAUGCGAAAUAAAAGUUGCUCCAGGUUUUAUAGUUUUGCCAGGCCGUAGGGUGUCUCCCUGAUGCGAAGCAUGUCACCGGCGAUAGAAUUUGACCAAGAUUUAAAUAGGUCUCGGGGCGUAGUGUGUCUCCGUGACGAGGAGCAGUUUUCGAAGACCGGGAAGUAAUUCCGUACUCUACAUGACGUUCCGAUCACACCUCCCAUACAUCAUUUUUAGCCCCGAGGCUUUUUCUGUAUAAGGGAAAUUUUGUAUGGCGGCCAUCUUGUUUUUCGGCCAUUUUGUUUUUUUUCACCGGGGAUAAAAUUUGACCAAGAUUUAAAUAGGUUUCGUGAAAAAAAUAUUGCUCCAGGUAUUAUAGUUUUGCCAGGCCGUAGGGUGUCUCCCUGAUGCGGAGCAGUUUUUCAAGAUCGAGCAGUAUUGAAAUACUCAACAUGACGAUCCGAUCACAUCCCUAUACAUAAUUUUUACCCCCGAGACAUUUUCUGGAAAAACAAAAUUUUGUAUAGCGGCCAUCUUGUUUUUCGGCCAUUUUGUUUUUUUUCACCGGGGAUAAAAUUUGACCAAGAUUUAAAUAGGUUUCGUGAAAAAAAUAUUGCUCCAGGUAUUAUAGUUUUGCCAGGCCGUAGGGUGUCUCCGUCUCCCUGAUGCGGAGCAGUUUUUCAAGAUCGAGCAGUAUUGAAAUACUCAACAUGACGAUCCGAUCACAUCCCUAUACAUAAUUUUUACCCCCGAGACAUUUUCUGGAAAAACAAAAUUUUGUAUAGCGGCCAUCUUGUUUUUCCGCCAUUUUGUUUUUUUUUCACCGGCGAUAAAAUUUGACCAAGAUUUAAAUAGGUCUAGUGGAAAAAGAAUAGUUCCAGGUGUGAUAGUUUUUCCAGGCCGUAGAGUGUCUCCCUGAUGCGGAGCAGUUUUUCAAGAUGGAGCAGUAUUGAAAUACUCAACAUGACGAUCCGAUCACAUUCCUAUACAUAAUUUUCACGCCCGAGG